GAGAAGCGUCCUUGUCUCCUUUGACAAUCUCCGAGUGAGUCUCCCAGAGGGAGAGAACGAGAGGAGGCGGGCCGAUGGGACGUCUCCCAGGGGCACGGUCCUGGGCCCAGAGGCCGUGGGGGUUUCUCUGACCAAGCGCUUGGAUUUCUGAGAAGUCCCCGGAGGGAGAGAGAACGAGACAGAGAACCCGACGAGAGGGAGGCUGAACUCCCUACUCACCCAGACAUUGGUGACCGGUGUGGAUGUGUAGCGUCAGCAAUGGCAAAGGUAGAAAGCCCCGGAGGGUCCUGGCAACGGCAGAUAGGUCCGUUGGAGAUGGCCAAAAGGUCAAUCAACCCCGUCCUGCGGGGGAUCGUCCCUUAAUGGACCAUCUACCAUCCGAGUCACGGCACCAGAAAUGUCAGGUAAAAGGGCCGAAGACCAAGACCAGACCAGGCCACAACAAGCCUUUAUUAGGGGAAUAGAUCUGCCGGGCUGUCUCUGAACAAAGGAGAGACAAAAGCAAUAUGGCUGGGGCAGGGAGAGUCUUUUAUAGAGACUGGGGUGGGGCUUGUAGGGGCUAAGGCGGGGUUGAGUGAGGUAGUGACUAGGGAAUGGAGGAGCCGGUGAUGUCACUAGGUGGUAGGAGGUGAGCAAGUAUUAGGUUACUGUCUAGGUUGGAACAGGGGCAUGCUGGGAAGAAGGGUUUGUUCUUUGGUGGGAGCAACCAUCUUGGCAUGAUGUCACACAGGGGAGGGGGCAAGGCACCAUAGGAAGAGGGCAGCUACUAUACUUAAUAGCUGCUGAGGUGGUGGGAGACCUAUCAAAUAGAUGCAUUAUCUCACAU
rnacentral:lncRNA from 1 species